rnacentral:tRNA from 14 species
UCGUGGUCGGUGUCCAGUCUGGCUUCAAACCCGUCGUGGCCUCAU